GGCCGGGCCGGGGUGCAGGUCGGGGCAGCAGUGUUCGCCAGAAGGUGUAGGAAGGAGGUGAAGCAGUCAAGAGAUGUCGUUCCGGGAUAAGGGCGUGAGGAAAGCGUGUUGGGAGUCUCGGGACAGGUACUGGGCGUGCCUCGAUCUGCCAGACAUCAACCGUGAUCACUGCCUCGAGCUGCGACGCCUCUACGAGAUGGCCUGCCCCGGACACUGGGUGAAGCACUUUGACCGGAAGCGACAAUAUAUGGAGUUCAAGGAGCGGAUACACUCGGUAGGACUCCGGGAGGCGGGCACACUGUCGCCGUGUCCCGCCCUUGAGUCCCCCCUCGUCAGGAGACAUCGCAUCUACAGCGAGGUCGUCUUCACCUAGCACCACCUGGUGACACCUUCCACCUUCACCUGGGCCUCACCUGUCUGUGCAACACCUAAAUCAAUAUACUGUACUUCACCUGUACCUGUCUGCACGAUCACCUAAAUCUGUUACCAAGAGUCAUUUAAAUUUGGUUCCAGAAUCACAUAAAUCUGGCCCCAGAAGCACCUGAAACUGGCAACAUCAUCACCGAAAUCAGUGCCUGCCUGGAGGAUCAUCUAAGUUUGACCGCAACGCCACCUAGUUCAGCGGACAACUUCUCUAGGCACCUAGAGAAGCAGUGGCCACCUUCCCUGUUACCACCUAGUUGAGGCGGCCAUUCCUACAUCAGUAAUGCCACCUACUGUAGUGACUCGCCUCCCUUCCCCUAUCUUCAACUGCACCAGGCUUCAGUUUCACCAAACAAAUGAUCAAAGACUGUCUUAACACUCUCGACAAGAUCACCCAUAUUAAUGACCUCCUCUACCAAUAUUUUCACCUACCUUCACCUGGUUACAGAGUCAUCCAGAACUGGUCAUUAAGAUCACCUAAACCAAUGACCUCCACCACCACCUUCUCAUGACCUGAUCAAAAUAGGUCGCGUCCCAACCCACUCGCUGUACCCACGAGUCUAGUCAACUUGUAAACAGGUUUAACUCCUUUAAUUUAGCUUUACCUACGUGUUAAUAAAAGGCUUAAUCCCUGAUAGGAAAAGGAAAAUUCCAUCAAGUCAUUUAAUUUUAAAAGUUUUACUAAUAAUUAAAAAUAUUAUCCCUUUUUUUUUAUCUAACUAUAAUAAUCUUUCUAUUAAGAACACUUGGCGCAAUAAUUGUAAUUUUCAUCGUUGCUUAGAUUUUAAGCGACCAUUCUUGUCUAUAAGCAAGUUCAAGUCUUCUGUUUCACAGUAGAUGUUAAAAAUAUCUUCUAUCAUCUCGGCAGGUAAAGUCAAACAGGAAUAUUUCCCUUUCCUCUCAGGAGAAGCCUAGUAAUAUACCGGUAUCUCUUCCCUUACCCCAUACCAUGAUGUGAAGCCUAAUAUUCUAGGUGUGAAUUAUAAUUCUUUCUCUUCCCCUGCCAGCAGGUGAAGCCCACUAUUAGGGGAAUUAAUCCUAGUGCUCAGCAGUGUGUGGGUAAUAAAGAUGUAAUUAUCAUUCACCCAAUGUGUGUAUAAUACUUAACAUAGCUAAAGGAGCGCCAGUUAGAGUUUAACGUAACACGGUAGGUUAAGAGGUCAUCUCAAAGUUCAGAGACGGCAUAAUAGUAUUUUUAGAGUCUAUAUUCAUACAGUAUGAGCAUAAAACAUUAAAUAGUGUUUCUCUGGAACCAUAAAUCACUAGUGAAAAAUAAGUUGCCGUAAUCUCCGGGAUUCCGGCACAAAAUUCAUUCGGGUUAAGAAAAUGCAUAUAUCCACUCAAUUCAUGUAAAAUUUUGUACAUUAUUUAGGAGUUAACUUUAGGGUUUACAAUAGUGAUUUUGAUCAUCGAGACACACUAUCUUACGUCUCCUAUACACAUAGAGGCUCCGAAAACAUUAUUGAGUUACCUUUAAACCCUGAAGUAACCCUUAAUGUUAUCAACUAUUAAGAGUGGAAUGACCAUUUUCAUUAUAGGUAUAUAUUUUUUUUAUUGUACCAGUAAUUCUAAUAGUAUUUUUUUUAUCUUUUUUCACCAAAGCACUUGCAUUGAUAUUUCAAGUGGAAUCGUUUUCUUAAAAGUUCUUACGUAUAACAUUAGAACACUAUGCUAUUCUGGUUAGCGGUCGGAAAUAUGUCGAUAUGUAAAUAAACAUUAGGCACAUAAACUAUUUAAUAAAUAGAAUUCAAAGUUUAAGCUGCAGAUACUAUAUUCACUUUCAAACAAACAACCUGAAAAAAAUCAAUGAUGUGUUUGUUCAAAAUUUGUUACUACAAAUAUAAACAGACGUAAACCUUCUUUAUGUAUAAACGCCAAAUACCCGCAUUGUAUAAAAACACAAACAGGAGACACCGCUUCACCACAACAACUAUAUAACCCACACGCACAGCACUCAUGUCACCAACAGUAACACAUAAGACACCCAGAGUAAUUAAAGCAGCUACAGCCUUAGAAUAAAUGCAAAGUGAAACGCUAAUUUUAAUCCCAUAUUCAUGGUGGAAUACCAAGCAGGCCAAAGGAUUGGGCACCGGGUUAGUUUUUGCGAUAUCAGCUGAUGGGAGUGUUGACUUCCAUAAUGGGGUUGUUGCCAAAAGUAUGAGCAGGCUGCUGGUAUUUGUGCACUCGUCAUUAAGAAUACGGGAUACACAUUGUGAUAACAUCUCAGUAAUCCUGCCAAAAAAGAUAAAUGUUCGAUAUUUCUUUUUAUAGACUUGGGGUGUACUUAUGCGAUUCGAAUUUUUGUGAUGUUAUUUUUUCACUUUUCACAUCCUAGUGAAGGUCCGAUAACAGAGGUAUAUACGGUAAUGAUUUUACUGAUUAAAGCGUUCGCUUUGGGUGUUUACCAAACUUAAAAGAUCAUCAACUGGUCAUUAUUGGCCGUCACCCCGGAAUUCAACCAAGUAGCUAACUCAACUUGUUUUAAUUUUAUGAGUUGGACCAAUCAGAAGGAGUCAGUGGCUCAAUCAGAUUAAUUUUACGAAUCAGGAGACGAGUCGACGCUACUGACGUCGUUCAUAAUGCAUUACAUUACUGUGAAUCAUCUUCUUUCACAAGGUAUGUCUGUAGUCUCUUCCGUUCCAAAUAAUGCAUAUUAAUUUAUUGAUCCGGUAUGUAACGGACAUUAGAAUAUUCUAGCCGUGUGUAAUAAUCAACAGAUACUUUUUAGGCAAUUAGGUACAUGACAGAAAACGUCGCUGUGCAGCAUAUGGAGGGCGUCUGUCAUGAUAGUUCAGUAAACAUGGCGUAUAAUCCUUGGCUCAAUGUAUGACGGUUCAUUAAGUGUGUCACAAGCACUUAUCCUUAUAUGAAUACCUGUCAUAAUGCUUCUUAGUCAUAAAUUAUCACUCGAAGCAACACACUUAAUGUAUAUGUUAUUCAGUGAACAAUAUUUGUUUUCAUUACCAGGUUCUUUGAUUUUAUUUCAUACUAUUGUAUGACAAUUUUUGUGCAUAUAUGAUUAUUUUGUUGGCUAAUGUAUUUCUUUCAGUUAUGUGUGUGUGUGUGUGUGUGUGUGAUUUAUGAAAUAGCAUUGUAAAAAGUAAAAAAUUGUAAAUCGUACAUUACUUGAAAAUGAAAAUUGUUUAAAAUGAGAAUGCAAAAAACCAUAAAUCAAAUUAAAACAUCAGCAAAUCGUGAAUGCGUUGAAGGACAAAAUCUCUACCGAACCCAACCCAGCCUAUCAUUAUGUCGUACAGAUACAUGUUCCUUCCCUUAUAGUAAAGUUAGGAACAAGUGAAUUGGGCAAUUAUCUGGUAGAAGUUUGGUCGAUUUUAAUGUUUUCUUGGUAGGAAGUUAUCCAAUGGAAAAUGGUCUAGUAGAAAUUUGUCUAUUCUAAUAUUUCGGCGGUAAGAAUUAAUAAAAUAUGAAACUUUCUAGUGCGAUUAUGACGACGUACCUCCAAGCCUCAGAUAGAGAAGCAUCUGCACCUUCCUCUGAUACAAGGAGUCCAGGAAUAGAUUUCAUAGCCUAGCGGGCCACAUCCGGCCAACUCCCGGCCCUUCCAAGUUUGUAGGUCAUGCAGUGCACCCAAGACACAAAGUUAUCAUAUUUUGAUAAGAUCACUCUAUAACAAAAGGUCUUCUGCAACCAAGUUUCUUACUCAAGCCCAAUUCACUGUAUAUCUUAAUAGCAUCAGCAUGAAAUAUGACGCGUUUGGAAAAAGAGAUCGAUAGAUAUUUUAUUCAGGAACAAUCGCUAAAUACGCAUAGGUUCAACAUGUAUAGAUAUAUAAAUACUGACAAUCGUUAAGUAGAUUGUAUUCUUUAGGGUCCAAUAUUUUCAUAUCAGAAUAAGGUAACUUUCAAAAUUGUGAUAUUUAGUAGAAAAAGUCGAUGCAUAAGAAAACAGAAUAUUCACAAACGACACAAGUAUUUUAGAAGAAAGUGGUCUGUGUAACACACACACACACGUCUUACCUCUGAUGCUUGUGGGCCCGAAUGGAUGUUAGCCUUGAUGUAGAAGAGGUGUGCUGAAGUAGAUACUAUAGCCCGGAUGUGAAUGAACUGCGUUAGGGAAGAUGCGGCUGUUUAUGGAUGUAUGAGGUGAAAGGGCCUUUACAAGUAACUUCUCGGGCGUCUCGUAAUUUGAGGUCGGUAUGGCCACAAAGUCUGAAAGAAACGAUAAUCAUUACUUGAUUUUUGUAAUUACUGUUAAGUCUUAUUUUUGUCAUUAGCGUUAGUCAAUAAUUGUGUAUGACGUCAUUUUCACUUAUCGAAAAAUAGAAAGCGGAUAAAUAGAUUUAAAAAUGAGAAAAUAAAAAAAAGUAUAUACCUGCAGUAUAUGUAUCACACUAACUAGGGAUAAUCGUCGAUUGAGCUUGAAAACGCAGCUGACCUUUUUAAGGAAUUGGCGUAAGCUUUUGUUUUUAUUGCUAUAACUUACCUGUAAUGAAAAUUAAUGGGUAUAUGAUAAUAUUUGCUGUGUACAAUGCAAGACGUUUUAUCAACUUAAGAUAGCCAAAUUAUAACUAAAGUAGGUUAGGCCAGGUUAGGUUGGAUUAUAUUAGGUUAUGUAAGGUUUUGUAUGAAGCUAUUUAUUUAUGUGUAUUCUGAUGAUGAUCAAAAUCAUUUGUGGCCAACCAGAAGUUUCCAAGAGAAAUGCAUAAAAGUUAUCGCUAAUCGGUAAUUAUCCCUAUUUUGUGAAAGACACAUGACUCGUACAGUAAAGGUUUAAGGUCUUGGCUAACUAUAGCUGUUGUCUUAAUCACGGACAACGGUACAAUAUUGAACUAGAUCAGAGCAAAGUCUGAACCAAAACAUUCAUGAUUUAAAAUUAUUCAUAUAGCUGACUGACGCAGCUAAACAACAGGCUCUAAUUGUCCGCAAUUUCAGGUAGAUGGGCUAGUAAUAAUACGUCACUGUUGGGCUAUGGCAAGUUAGUUACACUGUCAAGACAUACAAUAAUCACUACUAUGAAGUAUUUAGUAAAAGUAUAAGAAACAAUUUGUUUUAAUAAUAUAUAUUAUAAUGUGUUAGCAGUAUGAGUCACAUCAAUACGUCAGCUACAAUAAUUCUGCAUUAACGGCCGGAAGUUAUGAGUGAAAUAUUUAUACCAAUAUAAUGUACUAUGAUUUUGUAAAUAUUUUUUUCACAACAUUUGUCUCUAACUGCGGUUUGUUCUAGAUAUUUAAUUUAGUCCAUAUUUUCAAAGGAUUGAAUGAUAAAUAUUCCUUGUAACAGAAGAUGCGAGUAUGUAGUACAGUACCAAACUAGCAUCAACAUUACACUUUAGGGGAUGAGACUGAGUUAGGAUUUGUGUUCACUGCCUUAAUAUUGUCUAAUGCUAAGUGAACAUUACCAAUUAGGGUUGUCUCCGUGUAAAAUUGAUACUACCUUUGGAAGGUAUUUUUGUACUUUCGCAGUUCUGCACAUCAUUAUAUUUUCAGAUACUAGAAAUAUUUAUCUUUCGACAUUUUGAUAAUCUCGACUCUGAAUAGCUGAAACUUGACAUCUUAAUAUCGUUUUCUAGAUUUCUAACAGACAUUAUAGAUUUAUGUACAUAUAUAAAUAUAUAUACAUAUAUUUUCGUAAUGACUAAGAUAUCUCAUAUUGUGUGAUACUUACCUAACUAUAGUAUGUUGAUAGGCUAUGUAAGUUUAUAGAAACACACUAUACUGUAUAACUACGCAAACUGAUGGUAGAGUACUGUACUAUUAUAUAAGGGUACCAUAGGCUAUUAUGUAGUAAAGUAAAAAUGUAAACCAUCGAGUGAAGGUAUUGUACCAUAGACUGUGAUCAGUGUGGGUACCAUCCAUCAUACAUAAAAUACUACAAGUUACAUGGGAUGUGGUACAGUAUCGUGUGAAAGCAAUGUGAAGGUACCAUCAUUAUUUGGUUGUGACGGUGUACAUGGUAAAACAAUGGUACAGCAUGCUUAUGUCAAACUACUGUAAAACUGUUCAUGACAUAGUACACUUUAAGGGUGUAUUAUCAAUAUGUGAUACGUGCCAUGUUACCCCGCUUUCCCUGUGGUGUUGGCUUACGACACGUUAAAAUUCAGCACGAAAGAAUAUAUUACCCCAAAAGUAGAUGAAUUUGGGGAAGAUUAGGCCAGCUGUGUGGUAAGGCUAUCACGAGUGUGUAUGACGAGUGUGGGGAGAUGCUUGUGAGCCCGUCCAUACUCUAGACGUGUAAAACAUCUGUUGACGAUGUCGUUACGGAAGUUUCUGCUCUGCCUUUCUGAGCCAUUUUAUCUUUGGACGUUUUAAUGUAAUUUUCUUUUUGCUUAGCACGUUUUAGUCUAUGGCGCUAUUACCCGAGGAUAGUUAAGGCUAGGACGUUCUACCCUAGGCAAGUGUAACUUAGCACGCUCUACUCUAACAUUUUAGCUUAACAAGUUUUAUAUUAGAGCACAGGAGACACAUUUCGGCCAAUAACACUUCAGUCUAAAACGUCUUGGCGUAAACUUUAAGCUAUAAAGUGUAAAGCUGACACGACCGUGACACGUAGAGAGGCGGGAUGACAAUACACUUAAGCCAAACGUAAACUAAUAUAACAGAACCUAUCCCACCCUCUCGACCCGUCCUUCUGUUUAGUGGAGUUUUCUACAACUCGCACACUGAGUUAUGCCCUGCCAGUUGACCACACUAGAGCUUGGUAAGAAGGACUGGCUUAAAUUCAAACGAGGCUUCAGUCACUAUCCACGAAAAAAAAAUUAGAAAAUUUAUUGAUUCUUCUAGAUGUUAACACCAAAAAGUUACAGGAAUGGAUUGAAGGGUCAGUUUAGGAAUUCAAAGUUGGCACUGCUUGGUGGCCUUAGGGUUUCAAAGCGAGUUGUAUGACUGUUGAAAUAGGGUCCUGUUGAUACUCUAUAAACAUCCCCUUAAUAAGCUCCAAAAAAUAUCGUGCCUACUACACUGAACUCCUGAAAUGAUCCGUCAAUGUAAAAUAAGAUAACUAUGAGGGUGGUGUUAUCACCGUACAGAGCUCAACACCAUAACACAUGAAGCUGCUGAUCUCCAAAUGUCAACCGCAUACCCUAGCAAUAAGUUUAUUGGAAAGCUAUUAUGAAAUUUUAAUAGGCUUAAGUACCUUUUCACUCGUUUCUUGUACUGUCUUAGGUUUGUACUCCGGGCUCUUCAUAAGUACACUGUAUCUUACUGUAAUGUUAGUCAGGUCCUAGGCUUGGUCUAGCUGUAAAAUAUUAUAAUUAAAUUAAAUUGUACUUGUUUACAAUGUAAUGAACAUAAUAUCAACCUGGAUGUGUAUGUUUACAUUGCAAUAACCUACAACGCUU